rnacentral:rRNA from 1 species
CCUGGUUGAUCCUGCCAGUAGUCAUAUGCUUGUCUCAAAGAUUAAGCCAUGCAUGUCUCAGUACAUACCAAUCAUUACGGUGAAACCGCGAAUGGCUCAUUAAAUCAGUUAUGGUUCAUUAGAUCUUAACCAAGUUACUUGGAUAACUGUGGUAAUUCUAGAGCUAAUACAUGCAACCAAGCUCCGACCGCAAGGGAAGGGCGCUUUUAUUAGAUCAAAACCAAUCGGUCUUCGGGCCGCCAUGUCGUGUUGACUCUGAAUAACUUUGUUCUGAGCGUACGGUCUUCGAACCGACGCCGCAUCUUUCAAGUGUCUGCCUUAUCAGCUUUCGAUUGUAGGCUAUGCGCCUACAAUGGCUAUAACGGGUAACGGGGAAUCAGGGUUCGAUUCCGGAGAGGGAGCCUGAGAAACGGCUACCACAUCCAAGGAAGGCAGCAGGCGCGCAAAUUACCCACUCCCGACUCGGGGAGGUAGUGACGAAAAAUAACGAUGCGGGACUCUUCCGAGGCUUCGCAAUCGGAAUGAGCUCAACCUAAAUCCUUGUACGAGGAUCCAUUGGAGGGCAAGUCUGGUGCCAGCAGCCGCGGUAAUUCCAGCUCCAAUAGCGUAUAUUAAAGUUGUUGCGGUUAAAAAGCUCGUAGUUGGAUCUCGGGAUCGAGCUGACGGUCCGCCGCGAGGCGUGCCACCGUCUGUCCCAGCCCCUGCCUCUCGGCGCCCCCUCGAUGCUCUUGACUGAGUGUCCCGCCGGGGCCCGAAGCGUUUACUUUGAAAAAAUUAGAGUGCUCAAAGCAGGCGUUUGCCUGAAUAGUUGUGCAUGGAAUGAUGAAAAAGGACCUCGGUUCUAUUUUGUUGGUUUUCGGAACCCGAGGUAAUGAUUAAUAGCGACGGACGGGGGCAUCCGUAUUGCGACGCUAGAGGUGAAAUUCUUGGACCGUCGCAAGACGCACUACUGCGAAAGCAUUUGCCAAGCACGUUCCCAUUAAUCAAGAACGAAAGUUAGAGGCUCGAAGGCGAUCAGAUACCGCCCUAGUUCUAACCAUAAACGUUGCUGACUAGCGAUCCGCCUGUGUUAAUCCCAUGACUAGGCGGGCAGCNGGUGUCGCAUUGACCUGUUGAGCUUGUACAAGGUGAGAAGAGAGCGGUGUCACCGGUGCUUGGGAAAUAGGGCAAACAAGCCGUGUGACUAGUAGCAACCGCGAAACAAUGAAUUAAACUAACCUAAAGCGUUGUGUGAACACCUUGUUCAGGAUGAACUGGCUGGCCAGAGACCACCUCUCGUUAUUAUAGAGAGGCUGGCCAGCGAGCAAGAGGACUCGAGCACUUUGCUAUUUGUGAAAGGGUGCACUCGAGUCCCUCUGUCAAACUAAUUACUUACUGGACCUCGUCUCCAGAGAGAUUACCCGCCAAAUUUAAGCAUAUCAUUCAGCGGAGGAAAAGAAACCAACAGGGAUUCCUUCAGUAGGGGCGACUGAACAGGGAUGAGCCCAGCGCAGAAUCGCGUUAACAGCGCGAAAUGUUGCGUUUCGGAGGGUCGCUUCUCUUUUGUGCACGUGCUGCUUAAGUCAGACUUGAACGUCGCCACUACCCAUGGAGGGUGUGAGGCCCGUGUAGCAGCGUCGUGCCGAGAGAUUGGCCUCUCUGUAGAGUCGGGUUGCUUAGUAAUGCAGCCCAAAGCAGGUGGUAAACUCCAUCCAAG